rnacentral:rRNA from 1 species
GAGCGGCAGCAUGAUGUGUAGCAAUACACAUUGAUGGCGAGCGGCGGACGGGUGAGUAAUGCAUAGGGAUCUGCCCAGUAGCGGGGGACAACCCGGAGAAAUCCGGGCUAAUACCGCAUACGCCCUACGGGGGAAAGGGGAGGACCGAAAGGCUUCCCACUAUUGGAGGAACCUAUGCCCGAUUAGCUAGUUGGUGAGGUAACGGCUCACCAAGGCGACGAUCGGUAGCUGGUCUGAGAGGACGAUCAGCCACACCGGAACUGAGACACGGUCCGGACUCCUACGGGAGGCAGCAGUGGGGAAUAUUGGACAAUGGGGGAAACCCUGAUCCAGCAAUGCCGCGUGGGUGAAGAAGGCCUGCGGGUUGUAAAGCCCUUUCGGUGAAGACAAAACGCGCCGUGCUAAUACCACGGUGUUUUGAUUUAACUCACUAAAGAAGCACCGGCUAACUCUGUG